AUUGAACGCUGGCGGCAGGCCUAACACAUGCAAGUCGAGCGGAUGAAGGGAGCUUGCUCCUGGAUUCAGCGGCGGACGGGUGAGUAAUGCCUAGGAAUCUGCCUGGUAGUGGGGGAUAACGUCCGGAAACGGGCGCUAAUACCGCAUACGUCCUGAGGGAGAAAGUGGGGGAUCUUCGGACCUCACGCUAUCAGAUGAGCCUAGGUCGGAUUAGCUAGUUGGUGGGGUAAAGGCCUACCAAGGCGACGAUCCGUAACUGGUCUGAGAGGAUGAUCAGUCACACUGGAACUGAGACACGGUCCAGACUCCUACGGGAGGCAGCAGUGGGGAAUAUUGGACAAAGGGCGAAAGCCUGAUCCAGCCAUGCCGCGUGUGUGAAGAAGAUCUUCGGAUUGUAAAGCACUUUAAGUUGGGAGGAAGGGCAGUAAAUUAAUACCUUGCUGUUUUGACGUUACCAACAGAAUAAGCACCGGCUAACUUCGUG
rnacentral:rRNA from 1 species